UACGUAGGUGGCAAGCGUUGUCCGGAAUUAUUGGGCGUAAAGCGCGCGCAGGCGGUCCUUUAAGUCUGAUGUGAAAGCCCACGGCCCAACCGUGGAGGGUCAUUGGAAACUGGGGGACUUGAGUGCAGGAGAGAAAAGUGGAAUUCCACGUGUAGCGGUGAAAUGCGUAGAGAUGUGGAGGAACACCGGUGGCGAAGGCGGCGUCCUGGACCAACACUGACACUGAGGAGCGAAAGCGUGGGGAGCAAACAGG
rnacentral:rRNA from 1 species